rnacentral:rRNA from 1 species
AUUGAACGCUGGCGGCAUGCUUUACACAUGCAAGUCGAACGGCAGCGCGGGCUUCGGCCUGGCGGCGAGUGGCGAACGGGUGAGUAAUGCAUCGGAACGUGCCCAGUAGUGGGGGAUAGCCCGGCGAAAGCCGGAUUAAUACCGCAUACGACCUGAGGGUGAAAGCGGGGGACCGAAAGGCCUCGCGCUAUUGGAGCGGCCGAUGUCGGAUUGGCUAGUUGGUGGGGUAAAGGCUUACCAAGGCGACGAUCCGUAGCUGGUCUGAGAGGACGACCAGCCACACUGGGACUGAGACACGGCCCAGACUCCUACGAGAGGCAGCAGUGGGGAAUUUUGGACAAUGGGGGCAACCCUGAUCCAGCCAUGCCGCGUGCGGGAAGAAGGCCUUCGGGUUGUAAACCGCUUUUGUUCGGGAAGAAAUCCUCUGGGCUAAUACCCCGGGGGGAUGACGGUACCGGAAGAAUAAGCACCGGCUAACUACGUG